ACGGGGGGAGCAAGCGUUGUCCGGAAUCACUGGGCGUAAAGGGCGCGUAGGCGGCCUGAUAAGUAGGGGGUGAAAUCCUGCGGCUUAACCGCAGGGCUGCCUUCUAGACUGUCGGGCUCGAGCACAGUAGAGGCAGGUGGAAUUCCCGGUGUAGCGGUGGAAUGCGUAGAGAUCGGGAAGAACAUCGGUGGCGAAGGCGGCCUGCUGGGCUGUUGCUGACGCUGAGGCGCGAAAGCUAGGGGAGCAAACGGGA
rnacentral:rRNA from 1 species